rnacentral:rRNA from 3 species
ACAGGGAUUGCCCUAGUAACGGCGAGUGAAGCGGCAACAGCUCAAAUUUGAAAUCUGGCUCUUUUAGAGUCCGAGUUGUAAUUUGCAGAGGGCGCUUUGGCUUUGGCAGCGGUCCAAGUUCCUUGGAACAGGACGUCACAGAGGGUGAGAAUCCCGUACGUGGUCGCUGGCUAUUGCCGUGUAAAGCCCCUUCGACGAGUCGAGUUGUUUGGGAAUGCAGCUCUAAAUGGGAGGUACAUUUCUUCUAAAGCUAAAUAUUGGCCAGAGACCGAUAGCGCACAAGUAGAGUGAUCGAAAGAUGAAAAGCACUUUGGAAAGAGAGUCAAACAGCACGUGAAAUUGUUGAAAGGGAAGCGCUUGCAGCCAGACUUGCUUGCAGUUGCUCAUCCGGGCUUUUGCCCGGUGCACUCUUCUGCAGGCAGGCCAGCAUCAGUUUGGGCGGUAGGAUAAAGGUCUCUGUCACGUACCUCCUUUCGGGGAGGCCUUAUAGGGGAGACGACAUACUACCAGCCUGGACUGAGGUCCGCGCAUCUGCUAGGAUGCUGGCGUAAUGGCUGUAAGCGGCCCGUCUUGAAACACGGACCAAGGAGUCUAACAUCUAUGCGAGUGUUUGGGUGUCAAGCCCGAGCGCGUAAUGAAAGUGAACGGAGGUGGGAACCCGCAAGGGUGCACCAUCGACCGAUCCUGAUGUCUUCGGAAGGAUUUGAGUAAGAGCAUGGCUGUUGGGACCCGAAAGAUGGUGAACUAUGCUUGAAUAGGGUGAAGCCAGAGGAAACUCUGGUGGAGGCUCGCAGCGGUUCUGACGUGCAAAUCGAUCGUCAAAUUUGGGCAUAGGGGCGAAAGACUAAU